rnacentral:rRNA from 1 species
UUGGAGGGCAAGUCUGGUGCCAGCAGCCGCGGUAAUUCCAGCUCCAAUAGCGUAUAUUAAAGUUGUUGCAGUUAAAAGGCUCGUAGUUGAAUUUCGGGAUCAAUAUGCCGGUCAUGCCUUGGUAUGCACUGGUAUCUUUGAUUUCUCCCUUCUGACGAACUUUGAUGUCAUUAAUUUGGUGUCAUAGGGAAUCAGGACUGUUACUUUGAAAAAAUUAGAGUGUUUAAAGCAGGCUCACGCUUGAAUACAUUAGCAUGGAAUAAUGAAAUAGGACGUUUGAUUCUAUUUUGUUGGUUUCUAGGAUCGACGUAAUGAUUAAUAGGGAUAGUUGGGGGCAUUAGUAUUCAAUUGUCAGAGGUGAAAUUCUUGGAUUUAUUGAAGACUAACUACUGCGAAAGCAUUUGCCAAGGAUGUUUUCAUUAAUCAAGAACGAAAGUUAGGGGAUCGAAGACGAUCAGAUACCGUCGUAGUCUUAACCAUAAACUAUGCCGACUAGGGAUCGGAUGAUGUUAAUUUUUUAAUGACUCAUUCGGCGCCUUACGGGAAACCAAAGUGUUUGGGUUC